AAAACAAUCUUUACCAUUCAGUGAUAACAAGCACUUUUUUUACAUUUUAAUAUUUUAUGAUGUAUUUAAAUGAGUAGUUAUUGUUGCAAACUUCAUUAGAAAUUUGAAUUGAGAUCAGUUUUGAAAUAAGGGAAAGGGGGAUGUGAAAAAAAAAUUGGAGGGUCAAUUUUUUUCAUUUCAGAUUUCAUAAAUAAAAAGAAAAUUUCUUCAAACAUUUUUUUGAGAGGAUUAAUAUUCAACAGCAUAGUGAAUUGCUCAAAGGCAAACAUUUUUUUUAAGUUCAUUAGACCACAUUCAUUCUGUGUCAGAAACCUAUGCUGUGUCAACUAUUUAAUCACAAUCCAAAUUUAGAGCUGAAUCCAGCUUGAAUGUUGUGUCCAUACUUGCCCCAACCGUUCAGGGUUCAACCUCUGCGGUCGUAUAAAGCUGCGCCCUGCGGAGCAUCUGGUUCAAUUUGAUA
rnacentral:lncRNA from 1 species